UCCCUGGUGGUCCAGCAGUUAAGACUCUGCACUUCCAGUGCGGAAGCCACAGGUUCGAUUCCUGGUUAGGGAA
rnacentral:tRNA from 1 species